rnacentral:rRNA from 1 species
AUUGAACGCUGGCGGCAGGCUUAACACAUGCAAGUCGAGCGGGGGAAGUUGCUUCGGUAAUUGACCUAGCGGCGGACGGGUGAGUAAUACUUAGGAAUCUGCCUAUUAAUGGGGACAACAUCGCGAAAGGGAUGCUAAUACCGCAUACGCCCUACGGGGGAAAGCAGGGGAUCACUUUUGACCUUGUGUUAAUAGAUGUGCCUAAGUCGGAUUAAGUAGUUGGUGGGGUAAAGGCCUACCAAGGCGUCGAUCUGUAGCGGGUCUGAGAGGAUGAUCCGCCACACUGGGACUGAGACACGGCCCAGACUCCUACGGGAGGCAGCAGUGGGGAAUAUUGGACAAUGGGGGGAACCCUGACCCAGCCAUGCCGCGUGUGUGAAGAAGGCCUUAUGGUUGUAAAGCACUUUAAGCGAGGAGGAGGCUCUUUUGGUUAAUACCCAAGAUGAGUGGACGUUACUCGCAGAAUAAGCACCGGCUAACUCCGUGCCAGCAGCCGCCGUAAGAC